GAUGAGGGUCCAAAGGGUGGGGGACCGAAAGGUGGGGGACGGAAGGGUGGGGAACCGAAAGAUGAGGGACCGAAGGAUGAAGGACCGAAGGAUGGGGGACCGAAAGGUGAGGGACCGCAGGAUGGGGUACCGAAAGGUGGGGGACCGAAGGAUGAGGGACCGAAGGAUGGGGUACCGAAGGGUGAGGGACCACAGGAUGGGGUACCGAAAGGUGGGGGACCGAAGGAUGAGGGACCGAAGGAUGGGGUACCGAAAGAUGAGGGACCGAAGGAUGGGGGACCGAAAGGUGGGGGACCGAAGGGUGGGGAGCGAAGGGUGGGAGACCGAAGGGUGAGGGACCGAAGGAUAGGGGACCGAAAGGUGGGGGACCGAAGGGUGGGUUCGCCAGAUACAGACGGGAGUGCCAGCAGAGCAUCCGCAACUACUUCCUCAAAAACUGCUCCGGGGAGUUUAAAGUCAUCUCUGUGAUAUUACUGAUAGCAUCAUAUCUCUUGAUGAAAAAAACCAAAAUAGCCAGUGUGUUCGUUCCAUUGGUCUUAAUGAUAGAAUCCUUCCUCUUUUUUUUCUUCAUUUUUGCGAAUAUACUGGCAUUACCAAGAUAUUUAACAAAGCUGAUAUGGCCCAUUUUUGAUAUUCUCAAUGAUUUUUUUGCAUUUGUAUACCUUGCCUAUGCAGGCUUCUAUUCAAUAAUUCACCCACCAGGCACUAUGGAUAAACUAUACUGGCAAGUAGCUGGACUCAUACUUUCUGUUGCCUUCUUGUCUCUACUAGAUAUUGUUGUACAAACCCUGCUGCUUAAGUACAGGACGGUGAAAGCUAUAUCUGCCCCUCCACCCAGACAGAAGACUUAGCACACUUAAAAUCUCAUGGAAAACAAAGCAUGUAGCCCGCUUCUCUUUUACUAAGAUGAUUUUCUUUUCCUCUAAAAUUCCCAUUUUGACAUUUUCAUGGCAAAGUGCUUUCCCAAAAAAUAAUGUAUGGAAGUCUUUUUUUUCCCCCAGAGGAAUACCAAUUUUAACUUUACCAAAUAAAGUUCUCUUCUGACACUUCACCUUGGCCCAGACAGAAGAAGCCCUGGGUUCUUGGA